rnacentral:rRNA from 1 species
UACGUAUGGAGCAAGCGUUAUCCGGAUUUACUGGGUGUAAAGGGAGCGCAGGCGGUCUGGCAAGCCUGAUGUGAAAGGCCGGGGCUCAACUCCGGGACUGCAUUGGAAACUGUCAGACUGGAGUGUCGGAGAGGUAAGCGGAAUUCCUAGUGUAGCGGUGAAAUGCGUAGAUAUUAGGAGGAACACCAGUGGCGAAGGCGGCUUACUGGACGAUGACUGACGCUGAGGCUCGAAAGCGUGGGGAGCAAACAGG